UACGAAGGGGGCUAGCGUUGUUCGGAUUUACUGGUCGUAAAGCGCACGUAGGCGGAUCGAUCAGUCAGGGGUGAAAUCCCAGAGCUCAACUCUGGAACUGCCUUUGAUACUGUCGAUCUGGAGUAUGGAAGAGGUGAGUGGAAUUCCGAGUGUAGAGGUGAAAUUCGUAGAUAUUCGGAGGAACACCAGUGGCGAAGGCGGCUCACUGGUCCAUUACUGACGCUGAGGUGCGAAAGCGUGGGGAGCAAACAGG
rnacentral:rRNA from 1 species